rnacentral:misc_RNA from 1 species
AGGUGCAUGAGUGGUGUUUGGUUUGAUACGGGUGGUCGGCUCCCUGCUUGAGCAGGCACGGCCACGCGUGCAUUCCUUUUCAGUUGUGCGGCAAGGCUUGUACGUCUUGAUCGUAUAAGUGGGUUUCUUGUGUUGCAUACCUGAUCAAUGGCAUCGUUUUGAUCAAAAGGGUACCUUUUUCAUCUGGCCAUGCACUUGUUGCAUUGUCGGAUGAACCGUGUAGCAUCCUCUUUGAUCCAUACAGUUGACGUGUAUUCGUUGAUUGUUUGGCCCGUUGAGGGUGACUUGGUCUCUCGGAUAUGGAAGCCAAAGUGGGCAUGGGUUCGCAAGAUCCUUUUAUUGCCCUCAUUGAGCGUUCUCGCUUCUCUUAUACGACCGCCUUUCACGUAUGGCACGUCCCAGCGUGUUUGGCUAUGUCGAAGAGGAAUGCUACCUGGUUGAUCCU